ACCGGAAUGGGUGGAGAGAGCGGAAGUGGGGGCCGGGUCGGCCGCGGGAUUUGAAGCCGAAAGGCAGGAUUUAGGCUCAGAAUGGCCGAAGUGGCGGGGCUCGGACUUGGGCGAUGGGAGUAGAGCAGAGAUCACAAGUAGAUGGAGAGGCAGGUAGAGAGAAAGAGAGAGAGAGAGAAGCAGGCUCCCUGCUGAGCAGAGAGUCCGAUGCGGGACUCGAUCCCAGCCCUGAGAUCAUGACCUGAGCCACCCAGGGUCCACGCAAGCGGCGUCAAUGAAAACCUAUCAAAAGCGUGAGUCCUUCGAGCCGGAUUCGAACCAGCGACCUAAGGAUGACCACAGUGAAACAUCUACAGUCCUCCGCUCUACCAACUGAGCUAUCGAAGGAUUGGUGCUAGGGAUGGUUAGAAUACCUCUAAUAAUGUUUAUCCCCGUGGUUUUAAUCAUCUUAAGAAUUACAAGCAAAUGCUUUUUCUAGGAUGCUAGAAUGGAUGGUAGGAUGCUAGGAUGGUAGGAGUGAUAAUCAUAGAGGUAUAUUGAAAAAUUAAUACACUUGAACACUUAAGUUUUGUGUGUUUUACUUUCUGAUUUAGAUCUUUAAAAAAGAAAAUACCAUCCACGUUCCAUAUCCUGCUUGCUUAUAUAGAAUAUAGAUAGGGCCAUCACCCUUAUUUUUCCUGCUGUCUCUCUGUUUCUUCUACUCACCACCUCUCUAUUAAAAUGGUGGAUAAAUGAUAAUUUAUCCUACAUAUAGACAGCUGGGUUAAAGAGGAAUCUAUUGUCUUGAAGUGGGUAUACUGCUGAGUUCAUUUUGUAAACGUUGCAACCCUUUUUGAAAGACAAUGAAAAUAAUGUAUAGACACAGAAGUACUCCACCCAAAACAUGAGAGGCAGUGUGUGUGUGUGUGUGUGUGUGUGUUUAGGAAUUGAGUGGCUUAUAUUUAGUGGGGCAAAUAAAUGAAACACCCCUACCCAAUAAAAAAAAAAGUGCUGUAGACAUGUGUUUGUAGGGAUGCUGUCUACUGCUAAUGAACACCUUAUAACAGCAUUUGGCUUCCUGGCUGAACACCGGUGAAGAAAGCAGGAAGCCAUCUGGACAGACUUUUCUUGAUGAUGUAUCUAUAGGAAGGCUUUCUGGUGAACUUAAAAAAGAUUAUUUUUUAUUAAAAAUCAAAAUACUUCAUAACUGUA